CUAGUUUCGAUUCGUUUAAAUGCCUUUAACUUCGUUCAAAGUAGGCUGAUCUAUUUUGUUUGUAUUUUACCGACUGUUUCGCUACAGAUGUGUUACCAAACGGGUCAGUGACUUUAUUACAUUACAUUAACGGAAUUUCACUUUCAUAAUUCAAGAUUGGUCACAUAUCACUCGUUAAAAAUGACACAAAACGGUACGGGAGGAUCGGACAACAUGAUACUGUACAGUGCAGUGGUCGCUAAAGGAGCACCAGAAUCAUCCGAUACACAACCACGCUCUAACCUGAUGAAGCUGAAGAAAUCACUUCGGGAUCUGAUGACCCAAUAUCCUGAAGGCAUCACUAUGAGUAAAGCUCGCAGGUUCUGCCCGCUCCUCCUUGACCCAGAGCUGCUGAAGAACCACGCUUCUGUCCGCCACCUCUUGGCAUCCAUGCCUGAUGUGGUGAGACUAUGGGGAUUAGGUGUCCAGACAUUCCUUCUCCCCGCUGACACUAAACUAUAGGACAGGAGAAGUCUGGACUCUGGAGGGAUAGCCAUUGUUUACAGAUAAAUUCUUUCACAAUACUCUGCCAUCAAAAAACAGGACACUUGACUAGAUGACCAAAGCAGCCACUACAAAUGUGGACCUCUCCAACUUGGGCUGGAUGACCACAGACAACAGUAAUAAGGACAAAUGGAUUUUACCUACCACAUCUUUUUUAACCACAUUUUGACCAGAUGAAGAAUUUUUAAUUAUAUUAUAGAAAUCGCUGUGUUUACAUCUUUGAAGACCACAAAAGCACUUAAUUCUUGUGUGGUCACAUACAAAUCAGGAAAUAACAGCGAAAUGUAUCCUAUAUUUAUAGCAUUAUAACUUUGAAUAAUCAUAUUUACACAACUCUUUAAAUGUUUUAUAAGAAAUGUUCACAAGAAAUUGUUAACUUUAUAUUUUUAAUUAGAUACUAUAGUAUAUAUAUUUUUAAUUAGAUACUAAGACAACUGAAAACUCAUCUCUUUCAUGAGCACUUAACCUCAUCUUAAUAAAAAAAAAAAAAAAAAAAAAAAAAAUUUAUACCUAUCCUUUCACUUCCUCUAAUCCCUCUCCCUACUCUGAGCAUUACCUAAGACUUGUAUUGUGAGCACUUUUUGUGUCUAUUUGCCUCGUCAUGACGACUCGCUUGUUGUAUUCCUCACUUGUAAGUUGCUUUGGAUAAAAGCGUCUGCUAAAUGAGUAAAUGUAAAUGUAAAUGUAUAGUAAAUACAUGCAUUCUUCUAAAAUGACACUGAAGGUUUGAUACAAUAUUGUCAAAAGGGAUCUGCAUUAAAUGAAAAUUUGAUUUUAAAGCAUUUGUGUGUUUUUUCAAUAUGAAUGGAUUUUUGGGGGCAUAUAGUACCACAUGAUGCAUUAACUCUACCAGUUCUACAAUUUUAAACAUGCACACUUAACAGGGUGUGUUACAGCUCCACCUGAACAGCCAUACAUCUAGUUUAGACCUGUACAGACUUGUCUGUAGUGAUAUAAGCUGUCACAUGAGAGAUUACAUCACGAGAGAAAAAAGCAUUUCAGUGGUAUUACAUCACUGCAGUCAUUUAUUGUCAUAUCAGAUUCUACACUUUACAACAAAUAGUACAGCAUCUUUUUUUCAAAACCAUAACUAUUAAACUAAAAUAUAAUUCCUUAGAUAAAAAAGCUGUCUAAAACAGCUACAAAAGCUUUGGAAACUCCCUUAAAGGGGUAGUUCACCCAAAAAUGGAAAGUAUACCAUGAUUUACUCACCCUCAAGCCAUCCUAGGUGUAAAUGACUAUCUUCUUUCAGAUUAAAACAGUCAGAGUUAUAUUAUAAAAUAUCUUGACUCUUCCAAGCUUUAUAAUGGGGCUCAAGAUUUUGAAGUCUGAAAAAGUGCAUUCAUCCAUCAUAAAAGUAAUCCAUAUGACUUCAGGGAAUUAAUAAAGGCCUUCUGAAGCGAAGCGAUGGGUUUUUGUAAGAAAAAUAUCCAUAUUUAAAGGGGUCUUUGAUUAUGAUUUCACUUUUUUAACUUUAGUUAGUGUGUAAUGUUGCUGUUUGAGCAUACAUCUGCAAAGUUACGACGCUCAAAGUUCAAUGCAUAGGGAGAUAUUUUCUCUGUUUAAGGACGACAAACGCUUCUUCCCGGGUUAGUGACAUCACUAAUCCUAAAAUUUACAUAAACCCCAGCCCUGAGAACACGCAACAAAUGUAAGGAUGAACAGUUACUGACAAUCCUCAUUUUGGCUGCGUGAGAUUCUCCAGCUUUGUUGUUGUUGAGCAACCGAAGCGUGAGCUGUUAAAGCUCCGCCCUCUUCUGGAAAGGGGCCGGGAGCAGC